rnacentral:rRNA from 1 species
AGCAGUAGCCACGGUAAUACGGAGGGGGCUAGCGUUGUUCGGAAUUACCGGGCGUAAAGCGCACGUAGGCGGCUUGGUAAGUUAGAGGUGAAAGCCUGGAGCUCAACUCCAGAAUUGCCUUUAAGACUGCCGAGCUAGCAGGUGAGAGAGGUAAGUGGAAUUCCGAGUGUAGAGGUGAAAUUCGUAGAUAUUCGGAAGAACACCAGUGGCGAAGGCGGCUUACUGGCUCAUACUGGACACUGAGGUGCGAAAGCGUGGGGAGUAAACAGGAUUAGAUACCCGAGUAGUCCUGUCUCUUAUACA